ensembl:lncRNA
GCUAAACAUGAGAUAAAAUCGAAACUUUUUUUUGUUCCUUUUCUGAAACCUGUCUUUUCUGACAGGAGAAACAUGAUCUGAAUGCUCUGUUGUACCAAACUCAUUUGUUUUGCCCAAAGGAGCUAUAUGAAAUGUCUGUAGCCUUCUGUUCUUAGUUUUUCUUUCUUUUUUUCUUUUAUUUAUUUUCAUUCUUAUUCACUUUGUUUAUGUGUAAUUUAGCAAUACCAGAGCUGACAGGCAAUGAAAGGUAAGAAGGGGUAAAGAGAAGACAGGGGAAAAAGAGAGUGACACAAAAAAUAAAAAGCAGAGAAAAUCUUAGAAAAGAGACAAAUAAAAGUACAAAGCACUCAUAGUUAAGCUCAGCAGAUCACCAACUGUUGCACCUGUAAGAAAACUGUAAAAAAAUAUAUAUAUAUAUAAAAAGCAAACAGCACAUCAGGAAAAUACAAAGACACACAUGUACAUGGUCAAUUUUGCUUUAAAUGUGUGUGUGUGUGUGUGUGUGUGUGUGUGUGUGUGUGUGUGUGUGUGUGUGUGUGUGUGUGUGUCACAAAACGGACUUAAUAAUGAGGGUCAGGGGCCACAACAACACCCCUGGACCCAGAAGUAGACGAAGAACAAUCCAGUUCAGCAGGGCCAUCCAAAGCACCCCAGGAGUACUUGAGACCCAAGCCCACACGUCCAGAUGACAACCAUGUGCAGAAGGAGGAGGGAGGCCCCAGAAAGAGUUCCUAAAAGUUCUCAAGAACAGUGACCAGCAGGGAGUGGUAGGGAGGAGCAACCCUCACCCAUCAUAACAAUGUCCCACAGAGCUCAGCAAGUCUCAGACUUAGACCCAGCCACACACACACACACACACACACACACACACACACACACACACACACACACACACACACACACAGUGUUUCAACAGCAAUGGGCUCAUUUUUGUCACAAGGUGAUGUUUGAGUUGUUGAUCAGUGGAGUCUGACAGAAGCAGAAGAGUCUCCAAUGUUUUCAUAGUUCACUCCAUCUUCACCCUCAUCAUUAAGCUCCU